CGGAGGGUGCAAGCGUUAUCCGGAUUCACUGGGUUUAAAGGGUGCGUAGGAGGGCAGGUAAGUCAGUGGUGAAAUCUCCAAGCUUAACUUGGAAACUGCCGUUGAUACUAUCUGUCUUGAAUACCGUGGAGGUGAGCGGAAUAUGUCAUGUAGCGGUGAAAUGCUUAGAUAUGACAUAGAACACCAAUUGCGAAGGCAGCUCGCUACACGAAUAUUGACUCUGAGGCACGAAAGCGUGGGGAUCAAACAGGAUUAGAUACCCUGGUAGUCCACGCCCUAAACGAUGGAUACUCGACAUACGCGAUACACAGUCGUGUGUCUGAGCGAAAGCAUUAAGUAUCCCACCUGGGAAGUACGACCGCAAGGUUG
rnacentral:rRNA from 1 species